CUGCAUGUGGAUCAAAGGCAUCAUUGUAGGAACAAGAAAGAUAAGAACUUACAGAUUUUUGUAUCUGAAACAAGUCACCUGAAACAUCUCUCCUGUCACCAGGCAGACUCUUUACAGACACUGAUGGGAUUAUCAGGCGGAAGCGGUAUUUGUCCUCCAUUUUCUCUUCCUAAGUGCCAGGGACCUGGAUUUGGCUGGUUUAAAGACCAUCCUUGCCCAUGUAAAGAGUCUCUCUAAUCCUUGUCUCUCUAAGAGUCUCUCUAAGCCAGCGACAUCCUGCCCUUGAUGUUGCUGUGACAGUCAGAUGAUCCAUAUAAGCUUGAAUGGGCGAUUGUUGAAUACUGGCCUAGUGCACCCAGUAAUGUUGCCUUUUGCUAGGCGAUGUCAUGCGGAAGUUGUUGUCCCAGAGGUAAAUCUCAAGCUGAAGUUUCUAUAAGGUAUCUGGGGCUUCUUGUCUGUGUGGUUCUCUGAUGCUGCUACUUGUUCCUGACCCUCUUUUAGUACUUUACCACAAAAAUGUGUAGCAUUUUACAUGCAUAUCUUAUUGAAUGAUGCCACACUGGUUGCUUAUUUCAUAAAUGUUGUGUGGCCUUUGUUUGUUUGCUUACAAGCACCAAAAACUAUUUACUUUAGAGCAGCGGUUCCCAGUUUCCCAGUUCCGGUCCUCUCCCCCCUACAUGCAUG
ensembl:lncRNA